UACGAAGGGGGCUAGCGUUGCUCGGAAUCACUGGGCGUAAAGCGCACGUAGGCGGCUUUUUAAGUCAGGGGUGAAAUCCUGGAGCUCAACUCCAGAACUGCCUUUGAUACUGAGAGCUUAAGUCCGGGAGAGGUGAGUGGAACUGCGAGUGUAGAGGUGAAAUUCGUAGAUAUUCGCAAGAACACCAGUGGCGAAGGCGGCUCACUGGCCCGGUACUGACGCUGACGGUGCGAAAGCGGUGGGGAGCAAACAGGG
rnacentral:rRNA from 1 species